rfam:Aeromicrobium choanae strain 9H-4 genome assembly, chromosome: I
CUCGGUCCUCGGUAGUGGCCCUCGGAGCCCCUCGGGGUGGCCGCGGGCCUCGAUCGAAGACCGGC